GACGAACGCUGGCGGCGUGCUUAACACAUGCAAGUCGAACGGAAAGGCCCUGCUUUUGUGGGGUGCUCGAGUGGCGAACGGGUGAGUAACACGUGAGUAACCUGCCCUUGACUUUGGGAUAACUUCAGGAAACUGGGGCUAAUACCGGAUAGGAGCUCCUGCUGCAUGGUGGGGGUUGGAAAGUUUCGGCGGUUGGGGAUGGACUCGCGGCUUAUCAGCUUGUUGGUGGGGUAGUGGCUUACCAAGGCUUUGACGGGUAGCCGGCCUGAGAGGGUGACCGGCCACAUUGGGACUGAGAUACGGCCCAGACUCCUACGGGAGGCAGCAGUGGGGAAUAUUGCACAAUGGGCGGAAGCCUGAUGCAGCAACGCCGCGUGCGGGAUGACGGCCUUCGGGUUGUAAACCGCUUUCGCCUGUGACGAAGCGUGAGUGACGGUAAUGGGUAAAGAAGCACCGGCUAACUACGUGCCAGCAGCCGCGGUGAUACGUAGGGUGCGAGCGUUGUCCGGAUUUAUUGGGCGUAAAGGGCUCGUAGGUGGUUGAUCGCGUCGGAAGUGUAAUCUUGGGGCUUAACCCUGAGCGUGCUUUCGAUACGGGUUGACUUGAGGAAGGUAGGGGAGAAUGGAAUUCCUGGUGGAGCGGUGGAAUGCGCAGAUAUCAGGAGGAACACCAGUGGCGAAGGCGGUUCUCUGGGCCUUUCCUGACGCUGAGGAGCGAAAGCGUGGGGAGCGAACAGGCUUAGAUACCCUGGUAGUCCACGCUGUAAACGGUGGGUACUAGGUGUGGGGUCCAUUCCACGGGUUCCGUGCCGUAGCUAACGCUUUAAGUACCCCGCCUGGGGAGUACGGCCGCAAGGCUAAAACUCAAAGGAAUUGACGGGGCCCCGCACAAGCGGCGGAGCAUGCGGAUUAAUUCGAUGCAACGCGUAGAACCUUACCUGGGUUUGACAUGGAUCGGGAGCGCUCAGAGAUGGGUGUGCCUCUUUUGGGGUCGGUUCACAGGUGGUGCAUGGCUGUCGUCAGCUCGUGUCGUGAGAUGUUGGGUUAAGUCCCGCAACGAGCGCAACCCUUGUUCACUGUUGCCAGCACGUUAUGGUGGGGACUCAGUGGAGACCGCCGGGGUCAACUCGGAAGAAGGUGGGGAUGACGUCAAGUCAUCAUGCCCCCUAUGUCCAGGGGUUCCCGCAUGCUACAAUGGCUGGUACAGAUAAGUAGCGAGCCUGUAAGGGGAACCGAAUCUCCGAAAGCCGGUCUCCAUUCGGAUGGGGGUCUGCCAACUUCGACCUCUUGAAGUCCGGAUUCCUAGUAACCCCAAAUCACCACGCUGGGGGGAAUACCUUCCCGGG
rnacentral:rRNA from 1 species